rnacentral:rRNA from 1 species
UACGUAGGGGGCAAGCGUUGUCCGGAAUCAUUGGGCGUAAAGAGCGUGUAGGCGGCCCGAUAAGUCCGCCGUGAAAGUCCAGGGCUCAACCCUGGAAUGCCGGUGGAAACUGUCGGGCUGGAGUCCGGAAGAGGCGAGUGGAAUUCCUGGUGUAGCGGUGAAAUGCGCAGAUAUCGGGAGGAACACCUAUGGCGAAGGCAGCUCGCUGGGACGUUACUGACGCUGGAGACGCGAAAGCGUGGGGAGCAAACAGG